GGCUGCAACUCGCCUGCAUGAAGUUGGAAUUGCUAGUAAUCGCGAAUCNGAAUGUCGCGGUGAAUACGUUCCCGGGCCUUGUACACACCGCCCGUCACACCAUGAGAGUCGAUAACACCCGAAGCCUGUGAGCUAACCUUUUAGGAGGCAGCAGUCGAAGGUGGGGUUGAUGAUUGGGGUGAAGUCGUAACAAGGUAUC
rnacentral:rRNA from 1 species